rnacentral:tRNA from 1 species
GGUAGGUUGGCUGAGCGGUUUAAGGCAGUCGCCUGAAAAGCGACCGGAGGUUUGCGUCUCCCGAGGGUUCGAAUCCCUCACUUACCGCCA